rnacentral:lncRNA from 1 species
UCACAAUAUCAUAAAUGUCAUUAUUACAUAGCGGAAGUCUUAUAAAAAUAAAUGAUAAUAAUAAAGCGAACUAAGUAUUAUUCUUUAGCGCCACAAAGCUGACUAGGAGACGCCACCUAGAUCAACUCGUACUCCUUAUUGUAUGGCUCCUCCUGGACCACCUUUUCUUCUCCUGUGGGGGGGGGGGUUACAUAUCGCAAGGAUGAGCUCACAAAAGAUCAUAGCUCAACAAGUUGUGGGGAAUAAUGUGCAUGAACUUACCAAAGGUGGGAGUUCAUGUGAAGUGUAAGGCUAAUCAACAAGUAAGGGUUAAAGCUGAUAAUUGCUUUUAACAGGUUGGUCAAGUUUUAUUAGUAGUUACUAAAUGUAAGUAGAUUCUAAACCAGAGUAAUAGUAGAUCAAAAUUUAUAAUAAAUCCCAAUACGAUGGAAAUGACAAAUUGAAUUUAAUUUCAUAAAUUAAUCAUGCAAGAGUCUUGAGCUGCUCAUGACCGCGAGCAUGACUAGUAUACCACUUUUACACUCUACAGAGGUUGUACCCUGUACCCACAAGUCAUGUAUCCCGUCCAGCCAAGGUUAGCUAAACCCUUAGACACUGCCGAGGUGAAUGACUAGGGAUCCACUACGAGGCAUUUACAAAGUUCCACUAGCUUAAGAAAACCCGCUACAGUUUCUAGAAAAACAAUGCAGGAAUCCCCCGUCUGACUGCCAUCGCAGCAAAAUCAACCCGAGAACCUCCCUAUACGCCUACUCCCCUACUGCCCUUUCCCCUUUCGCGUAAGGUAGUCCUCCACUAGCUUUCCUAGUUAGUCAACCAAGGGCGUCCCAUUCCACCCUUGUGGUGGCACAUGUUUCUCAAGUUAAGCUCGAUGUUCCAAUUAACAUAGUUGCCUUAUCAUGAACAAAAAUAGAACAAUAAUAAAGAAUGAUCAUGUGUAAUAGUUAUCUCAACACCCAAAACCAUAUAUAGCAAUAGCAAAAACUACCCAAAAGUUCAUGGGUAAACAAGGUGAAAAGAUAACCAGACUAGGGUGGCCUAUUGGGUCCCAUCAAAAUUAAGCCUAUGCAUGAUAAAAUGAUUAUAAAGAACAUUAUUGGGUAAAUAAAAGUGAUCAAGAGCACAACUUGCCUUCAAUGAGCUCCUGCUCAGCAAACCUGCUAAACACCUAGAUCCUUGGUCACUGGCUCGUCUACUCGCCAUAAUACAAACAAACAUGGUACAAGGGAGAAAUUAACAUCACACCAAACAUGAAUACAAAAUAAAUAAUAGUAAUCUACGCAUCAUAACGAGAUCAUAGGAACAAGAAUCUCUAAAUUCAGAGUUAUGGAUUUUAUGUUAUGAUUUUCCAAAGUAUUUAUGUGUUUGGUACAAAAUUAUCAAAGUGAUUAAUUUUAAUAUGGCUUUCAUGCUAGAACAGUUUUAAUAAGUGAUAAACAAUAUUAACACAAAAUUAUAGGAACUAGAAUGGAUUUGAAAGGAGCUAAAAUGAAUUUCCUAGGAUUUAAACAAGUUUCUGCAAUUAAUUUUGUAGAAAAAAAAUCAUUUUCUAAAUAAAUUUCUCUAUUUUAUUAAUUGUAUGAACUGCGCACAACAUUACCGAGAACUGCAGGGGGUGCACGGUAAAAUCCUGGACCUCUCCGUAACGAUCUUAAUACGGUCUUGAACCGCGGGUUCAUUUCUAUAUAGUUUAGGGGCUCAUGCAAAAAAGUGCACGGCCAAAACGGUAUCAACAGAUCUCGACCGUCCGAUCGGGAAUCAAGGGCUCAGAUUAGAAUCUGGCCACCACAAUCCGGUACGCAACAAGUGCCGUUCGAUCUCUAUACGACGCUCCAGAUUCAAUUAUGCCAAGAUCAACCCUCACCCGAUCGAUUCGAUCGGAUGGCGCACGUUACUCCGGCUGAAACGGUAUCAGCCAUCAAAUCCAGACCGUAGAUCAUGAGAUCUACGGAUCCGACCUCGCCUACCCGUAUCUGAUCUAAGCCGCACGUUGCCAGAUCUACGAUGCUGGUAUCUCUCCCUGACCCGACUCUCUUGCGCGCGGCGGUGACCGGUGAAGGCUCCGCACGGCGGCGAGCCGCCAGCAAACUACCCAACUGGUUGGCUCGAGGUACGCCCAACUUCAAAUCCGGUGAAAAAGGAAGCGCGAGGUGAAACUAUCCAGGGGCUUACCGACGACCGAGGAGAUGGUGGGUGAGCCGGCACGACCCGCAGUGGCCGGACACGGAGAUCCCACGACGGCGGCGAGUUCCCGACCAGCCGAGCACCCACCAUACACGGCAACACCUCGCGCGAGACCCUUCAACGCGACCAAAGCUCCUGAAUUCGCCCCCGAGACUUGAGACGUGGCGAUAUCUCCACCCAGCUACUCUCUCCGGACUUGCUGUCAAUGGCUAUUUCUGGUGGCGGCGCUUUCCUUUUUCUUGUGGCGGCAGAAGGAGGAGAGGGCAAAGGAGAAAGCAAGAGGGUCCUUAGCCCGCUUUUGAAGCAAAGGUGAGGUGCAGUCGUGGUUAGCGGAGGUGUCGCGUGCUCAACCACCCGCCCGAGAUGCG